CGGCUGUCACUGUCUCAGCAGGAGCACCAGCAGCACCAAAAGUAACACCGCAAAGGAAGCUACAAGAUGCCCUGUCUUUCAAAACCAGUUAAAGUCGAAACAAUCACUAAAGGGGAAACCCUCGGUGCUGAUGUAGCUCUGAUGAACCAAGUGAAAUGGAAAGUUAGGCUGGAGGGAACAAACCAGGGUGGACAAUGCACCAUUGUUUUCUGCCCAAUCACCUCCCGUGUUGGCUCAGAUGUGGAGGCAGCCAUGCAAAACGUGCCAUUGGUUGAAAGGAUCAUCCUAGUCUUGAUGCACCACACCAGAGAUCUUGACUACUCAACUGCUGGGACGAAGUGGUCAGAUAUAUAUCCAAAUAUUGACCUGGAAGUUCAUGUUCUCUUCCAUGAAAGUGUCCCAGGGUUACUCACCUGUUCUAAGAACACGGAGGCCGUCUAUCAAAUCCAAAAAUAUUUGGAACCACAUGUUCAAAAGGGUUGGCUUUGGAGAUUAUUACCUAUUUUGUUAUUAUGUGGUAUUGUAGUUCUGUUUGUGGUCCUGUUCCUUGUUUUACUGAGGUAAAGCACAGAUAAACAAACAAAACACAGUGAGAAAUGCAAUGGUUCUAGGUUAUUCUGCAACAAAUGUUUAUGCAUUAAUCAAGUCAUCUAAAAAAUCUAUAUUAUAUUAGAAAAAAAAAUUCACAAUAUACUGCAACAUAAAUGACAUAGGUCAAAGUAAAAUGAAGUAAAAUGAAUUAUGUAGAAACUGCAAUUAAACAAAUUGAACCGUAAUUCAAUCAGAAGUACAAAUUGAAGGAAAAAUAACUUGCUUCUAAUGAAAUAUUUCUACGUGAACUAUAAAUAAUUUCCAGUUAUUGAUAGUUGGUAUUAUUAUUGUUUGUCUGCUUUAAACAUGAAACCAAAGCUCUAUUGAAGUCUCCCACCCAUACAAAAAUUAUCUGGAGAAUCAUAGUCUGCAUGAGUGCAGCUCACCCAGUCAAUUUUCAACAUAUUGUAUUAGGAAUCUAACCAGGAGCCAGUGGAGCUGCUGUAAGACUGCAGUGAUGUGAUGAAAACAGGGUUUUUUGUUAAUAAUGCAAGCAGCUGCAUGCUGAACCAGUUAAAGCUAACAGUGGGAUUUUUGAGGAAGACCAACAAAGUAAAAGAUUUAAGUAAUCGAUGUGAGAAGUUGCAAUAGUAUUGGACACAAGUAUAUAUGGAUUGAGGGAAAAUAGAGGGACAAAGACAAUUAAUAUUGUGUAGAUGAAAAUGAGCAGAAUGGGAAAUGUUAUUGAUUUUAGGGGUGAAGGCUUUAGUGCUAUUGAGGAUGACACCCUCACUCUUAACCUGAGGUGAGGAGGAGACUGUAGAACUAUCAAGUGAAAGGAAGGAACUGUCAGCUUUGGAUAACACAGAUCUGGUUCCUACAGGGAGGAGCUCAGUUUUUUCACUUUUUAAUUUAAGAAAGUUGGAAAUGAAGGGAAGAUUUUAUUUUAGAUAAGCGGGGGUCUAGGCAAGAGGGCAGUUGCAUUGUAUUUGGCUUACAAGAAAGACAGAGCUGGGUGUCAUCUGCAUAAUUGUGAAAAUGGAUGUUAAAGUUCUAGAAGAUGGCUAUGAAGGGGAAAGAAGGUAGAUAAGAAAAAGUUGGGGUCCAAGGAUAGAGCCCUGGGGAAAGCCGGUUGUAACAAAGGAUGUUGACGGGAACUAAAGGAUUUAAGUUGUACAAGCUGAGUGUGGCCAGUAAAGUAAGAAUCAAACAUGUCAAGGGGGUGUAUGUGAUUCCAGUUGAAGAUAAUCUGUGGAGAAGGAUGGAGUUCGAAAUUGUAUCGAAGGCAACACACAGAUCCAGAGGAAUGAGAAUGGAAAGUAAUCCAGUGUCAGCUGCCAUCAGAAGCUCGUUGGUGAUUUUUAUGAGGGUGGUUUAACUACUGUAGUGCGUACGAAGAACACACUGUAAUUCUUUAUAAAGGUUAUUUGUAAAAUGGGAGUGAAGUUGGAAAGCAACUGUUUUUUCUCAGUUUUUUAGUACUUUGGAGAUAAAGGCUAAUUUUGAAAUGGGGGGAGAGUAUUUUAGUUGUUGGGAUCUGAGCUAGAUAGCUUCAGUAUUUGAGUGAUAAUUCCGAUUUUGAAGAGGGUAAGAGCAAUUCCAGAGGUAAGUGAUGAGUGAAUUAUGGCAGUUUUGAAUAGGUGGAGCACUUGAAUGCAGGGCUUAAUUAGGCCUUUUGGGAAUGGAUCAAGCAUAGAAGUGAAAGAUUUAGAUUUACAGUUGAUGUUGGAGAUGCUAGAGCAUGCUUCAAAGUAGAAAACUGGAAAAUAGUUGACAUAAAGGAUU